GCCUCUUAGCGGGGGAUAACUAUUGGAAACGAUAGCUAAUACCGCAUGAAAGUCGACAUUGCAUGAUGUUGACUUGAAAGGUGCAAAUGCAUCACUAAGAGAUGGACCUGCGUUGUAUUAGCUAGUUGGUGAGGUAACGGCUCACCAAGGCGACGAUACAUAGCCGACCUGAGAGGGUGAUCGGCCACACUGGGACUGAGACACGGCCCAG
rnacentral:rRNA from 1 species